CACACGCACACCCUUACACACCUGCAUAGGGUAGUAUACCAGGGUCCUGUGGCCACUGCAGUUGAGUAGGGUUGAGAUCAUCCAUCCCCCAGGCUUGCUUGGGAAAUGGGAGCCAUCAAGGCUGGAAAGGAAAGAAAAAAGAAAGCGGGGAAUUUGAGACAACUCGCUCGUCUAGAACAUGCUGAUAGACCACGUGAUUCCUAAAGUCUCCUGAGACUUUGUAUUGAGGAUCCCAUGGACAAAGGAGCCUGCAGGCAGACAUGGGGUUGCAAAAAAACUGGGCCUGACCUAGCGACUAAACAACAGCAAGAAGAGGAAGAGACUUUGCCCAGCAACUGUACUCAUCAGAGCCUGGAUUGCAGGCUGCCAGCUUCCAGAGCCAUGAGAAACGAAGACGUGCUGCUUAAACCACUCCAUCUACAGCAUACUGUCAUACCAGCCUGAGCAGACUUACAGUCUUAACAUAAUUGAAUUUCCCAGAAAUGCAACUGCUGUGUAAAUUGAGUGAAGCUUAUGCUUUGUUUUGUUCAGAACUUUACCAUGAGUUCUUCUCCACUCUGGAAACACACAUCAGUAACACCACUCGUGAUGUCUGAGUCAGUGAGAGAUCACACCUGUUUCAACUUGUAUGACAGCCGUGGCUUUUGUGGUGAGUCCAGAGCAGGGAAUUAGCACAAUCCAGUUUACAGACUAACAAAUCCUCUCCUUGCUGUCUCUAGGACAGAUCUGAAGAAGGAGAGAUUGGAUGCAGAGUACAGUGCAGAGGUUCUUGCUGGGCCAGGAUUUUGGCAGUAGGGAUGGAUUAGAAAUAUUUAGGAAGAAGAAUAAAUAGAAUUGGGUGCUAGAUUGACUGUGUGGAGUAAGGGUUGCAUUAGAAGACAAGGCAAACCCCCAGCAUCCUAGAUUAGACAUCUCUUGGAUGGUGGUACCAUUUUCUUUUCCUUUUUAAACAUGUUUUAUUGGAGUAUAGUUGAUUUAUAGUGUUGUAUUAGUUUCAGGUAUAGAGCAAAGGGAAUCAGUUAAACAUAUACAUAUAUUCCCUCUUUUUUACAUAUUUUCCCAUAUAGGUCAUUAUGGAAUAUUGAGUAGAAUUCCGUGUGUUAAGUCAUAUCUGACUCUUUGUGACCCCAUGGGCUGUAGCCUGUCAGACUCCUCUGUCCGUGGGGAUUCUCCAGAAAAGAAUACUGGAGUGGGUAGCCUUCCCCUCCUCCAGGGAACCUUCCCAACCCAGGGAUGGAACCCAUGUCUCCCGCAUUGCAGGC
ensembl:lncRNA